UCCAUUAGAUGUUUGGAAGUUAUGGCUUACAGUGACACUGGUGGUGCAGGACUCCAAGUGAGUGACCCGUCAGAAUCAUCACCAUCAGCUGCAGGAUAAAUGCCUCCCGUUUAAAAGAAGCAAUAGACAUCUUGACAGGAUGAAGUCUCUGUGCUGUCCACGUCUAGGAUGAAAGGAGGCUGAAGUUUG